rnacentral:rRNA from 1 species
UUUAAAUUGAGAGUUUGAUCCUGGCUCAGGAUGAACGCUGGCGGCGUGCUUAACACAUGCAAGUCGAGCGAGAGAGCACCUUCGGGUGUGAACUAGCGGCGGACGGGUGAGUAACACGUGGGCAACCUGCCUUACAGAGGGGGAUAGCCUUCCGAAAGGAAGAUUAAUACCGCAUAUUAUG